rnacentral:lncRNA from 1 species
GUGGUGGUGACAAUGUAGACGCCGGGGGAGAUUUUGUAACUGGUGGAGGAGCAGAUUGAGAAGGAUGAGGUGGUGGUGUAAGCACAAGAGGCGAAGGAGUACUUGUAGGUGGAUUUGACGAAGGUGGAGGUGGAGAACUGGAGGAAGGUGGUGUUGGGACAUUGACUGGAGGAGGUGAACUGGAGGAAGGUGUUGCUGGGACAUUGGCUGGAGGAGGUGAACUGGAGGAAGGUGUUGUUGGGACAUUGGCUGGAGGAGGUGAACUGGAGGAAGGUGUUGUUGGGACAUUGGCUGGAGGAGGUGAACUGGAGGAAGGUGUUGUUGGGACAUUGGCUGGAGGAGGUGGAGAAGGUGCCACGGCUUGAGGCGGGGGUUGGGCUGGAGAUGGAGGCGAGGGAUCGACUUCAGGAGGAGGAGGAGCAUCCAAUGGCGGUGGUGGGGACGAGGGUUGAGGGGGAGGGGAAUUGACAGCAGGAGAUGAUGGCGG